CCCAAAGUUUCUCUCCUAAAAUUUCUAUGCAUGUCCCACUUUUCUCCUCUUUUUACAACAACGUCGAACGUGUCUUAUCCGCGUGAGAGGAUAAAGAUAAGUGGUUGCACAUGUGAAUUCAAAUCAAAUUUGAAUUCAAAUGCAAAACCAACUCAUCCCUAUCCACUUGUGUGUGAGAAGAGAAGGGGCGUGAGUUGAUUUGUGCAUGGAGAGUUUACACGAGAAAUAUUUUCUCGUGUAAAAUAUGGGGCGCACA
rnacentral:lncRNA from 1 species